AGCUGUUCAGCCCGAGACAGCUUCAGGGAACAGCAGUGAGUGGGAGGAGAGUGAAAAGAUAACAUCACAAAAAAACACAGAGACAAGAAAAGGAGAGGAGAACAAGGCAGAAGGAGGAGGAGGAGGAGGGGAGAAUGGGCGAGCAGGGAUCAGGGUGACCCCGUGCCAGCCACUUGGGAACAUGUUCUGCUGAAGCCGGAGAAAGGCCUAAACUAAACUACACCAAGUAGUAAUCUCACCACCACAGACACAAAUCCUGGGAAUCAGUCUUGACGCCAACCGACCCCUCUCCAUGGAACAGGGCUACGCUGCUCUCCCAGUCACCCACUCCCAUAGCACAGAGGAAUGGGAUGACUCUGACUCUGAGGAGCCACGCAGUCAAACUGCUCAUAAAAGCAGCACCAACUCCAUUCUGACCUGACAGCAGUCAGUGGGAUUAGAUUGACCGGGCUCCCUGUGAUGUCCACCUGCCCUCUCAUAAAGGCCCCAUUAGGACAUUGUAAGGAGAAGGUAGGAGAAAAAACUUAGACAACCACGAUCAAAGACCCACUGUCUUUCUGUCACACCUGUAAUGAUGGGCUGGUUUAAAGGGUCAGUAGAAGAUUCAAGGGAAAUUUCACCGCUGCUCUAUUUCACUAUAUAUGCCCAUAGAUAUGUUUUUUAAAUAUCAGAUGUGCCAUGAACAUGUUGAAUUUCCUCACUACACAAAAAUACGAGCAUUUCUGCAUCUCAUCGGUAGAAACGGGCCAGCUACAUUUACUGGUUGUAAGCAAACCACAAUAUCCAGAAUUCAUAGCGAUUUCAGGACGUGGAGGACCGCCGGUGGAGGAGUAGGGUAUCCAAUUGAUGGGUGAAAAAUCAAAAUGUCUGAUUUUGUAGCCAGCACUUUCAGCCAGUUCUAAACGGAACUGAAGUCACAACUGAUGGGGUUGCCAUGUCGUCAAACAUUGAAAAGUGAUGCUAUUCCAGUGAAUUUCCCCUUCACUUCAAAGAGGACUUCAUCCGAUCAGCCAACAUCAGUGCAGCAGAAAAGAAGGCAAGCUGAGCUAACGAGACUUGGAGUACAUACAAAGCUUCUGCAAGAGGUCGAAGCAGUGGGUGGUGAAGAACACCGCCACAGCGCCAAAGCCUGCUAAACCAAAUGCCAUUACCCAACACAAGAAGAGGUUCACCAGCUGAAGAACAUUCAGGACCCUGCCUGGAACAUUCAGGCAACACAACGUACAUAUUCAGUUAGACUGAUGUUGUAGUAUAAUAUAGAAUGCCCAGUAUGCUCACAACUGCAUUGUGGUAUAGAUAUUUCUAGCUCUUGUACAUAUGUAUAUAAUGGUGUUAUAUAAUAUUUUUGAAUGUAUUAGAUUCAGUGAGUAAACAAUUCCAGGUGCAUCAGAAACCAAUAAAGUGUUGACUUCAACUUC